rnacentral:lncRNA from 1 species
AGCCGGUUCCCCCAGUGAACAGCAGGUGCAGAGGAACCAGGAAGACCGGUCACAUUUUUGACUUCUGAGUUCCUGAAAAGGCUCGGGUGAAUCAACAGUUAAUGCUUUCUUCUUUAAAAAGAAAAUGUGAAAAUGCCCAAAGGAAGGGCUCUCCAUUUCUCCUCGGGUGUGCCUAAAGGGACAACACCUCCCCUUAGUUUCAAGACCUCGAAUCAGACAACACGGGUUCCUAACCCACCAGUCACUGGCCAGAAGAGAGAUCAGCACAGGGUGGUGAGCUCAGCCUCCCUGAAGCUCAGCCAAUGACAGCUUCCUGACAGGCGAAGAGAAGAGCAGAAGCUGGGAAGUCAAACGACAGCAUCGUCUAACGGUCCAGCACAGACAAGAUUCCUUUCAAAGCUUGUGCAGAGACGACCUGGAGGUUUGUUGAAGACAUCAGUCCUGACCCCACAGGCCUGGGUUGGACAUUUGGUUCUAUGUUUUUGACAAACUCCACAGAGAGGGCAGGAUGGCUGGCCAAACAGGUCAUACAUCGAGCAAAUCACCACACAAUAUCAUGUAUUCCUUUUAUGUUAUUAUGUAAAACUUGACAUCUUGGCCUGGUGAGAUGGCUGAGAGGGGCGAAAGACACUUACCACCAAGCCUGAUGGCCUAAGUGCCUUCUACAUAGCAGGAGGAAAGGAGUGACCUCUGUGACUUCUUCGCUGGCCUCCACAUGUGCUUUUGUGACGUGUAUGCCCCAACCUCAGUGUAAUAAACAGUGUUUUAAAACUUG